rnacentral:rRNA from 1 species
AUUGAACGCUGGCGGCAGGCCUAACACAUGCCAGUCGAGCGGAUGAAGGGAGCUUGCUCCUGGAUUCAGCGGCGGACGGGUGAGUAAUGCCUAGGAAUCUGCCUGGUAGUGGGGGAUAACGUCCGGAAACGGGCGCUAAUACCGCAUACGUCCUGAGGGAGAAAGUGGGGGAUCUUCGGACCUCACGCUAUCAGAUGAGCCUAGGUCGGAUUAGCUAGUUGGUGGGGUAAAGGCCUACCAAGGCGACGAUCCGUAACUGGUCUGAGAGGAUGAUCAGUCACACUGGAACUGAGACACGGUCCAGACUCCCACGGGAGGCAGCAGUGGGGAAUAUUGGACAAUGGGCGAAAGCCUGAUCCAGCCAUGCCGCGUGUGUGAAGAAGGUCUUCGGAUUGUAAAGCACUUUAAGUUGGGAGGAAGGGCAGUAAGUUAAUACCUUGCUGUUUUGACGUUACCAACAGAAUAAGCACCGGCUAACUUCGUG